rnacentral:rRNA from 1 species
CAGCCGCCGCGGUAAUACGUAGGUGGCAAGCGUUGUCCGGAAUUAUUGGGCGUAAAGGGCUCGCAGGCGGUUUCUUAAGUCUGAUGUGAAAGCCCCCGGCUCAACCGGGGAGUGUCAUUGGAAACUGGGAAACUUGAGUGCAGAAGAGGAGAGUGGAAUUCCACGUGUAGCGGUUAAAUGCGUAGAGAUGUGGAGGAACACCAGUGGCGAAGGCGACUCUCUGGUCUGUAGCUGACGCUGAGGAGCGAAAGCGUGGGGAGCGAACAGGAUUAGAUACCCCAGUAGUCCCUGUCUCUUAUAC